UCCAGGACAAUGAUAGACUUCCCAAAAUAAGGAGCCAGUAAUUUUUUUAUAUUACCAACACAAUGCUAGUUUUAACUUUCUUCCAAAUCUUAUAGAUUCCCCCUAAAUUUCACCACUUCCUGACAGUGAUGAAUGGGGUGACAAUCCUCAUAAGAACAUGGCCAUCCUUGUCAGCUUGGACUUACACCUAUAAUGAGGGCAUAUGUUGUUGCACUAUCCAAGGGCAAAAAGGCCUUAUUGGAACACAAUGUCUUCAUUAUAGAGGGAGCUCACAAAAGUGCCCAUAAAAUCUGCUUCAAGACCUUGUUAGCUUGCACGAAACACAUAUACUGCUCACACAGGUAAAAAUCUCUUCACCUACUUAAGAAGUUGCAAGAAGUUUAAGCAGUCCAACAAUUUAUAUAAAUAUUCAAAGACUAUCU
rnacentral:lncRNA from 1 species